UACGUAGGGGGCAAGCGUUGUCCGGAUUUAUUGGGCGUAAAGAGCGUGUAGGCGGCCAGGUAGGUCUGCUGUGAAAACUCGAGGCUCAACCUCGAGACGUCGGCGGAAACCAUCUGGCUAGAGUCCGGAAGAGGAGAGUGGAAUUCCAGGUGUAGCGGUGAAAUGCGCAGAUAUCAGGAAGAACACCCGUGGCGAAGGCGGUUCUCUGGGACGGUACUGACGCUGAGACGCGAAAGCGUGGGGAGCGAACAGG
rnacentral:rRNA from 1 species